rnacentral:lncRNA from 10 species
CAGGGAGAGUGGUGCAAGCCUCCUGAAGGAAGCCAAGGAGCAAGCCUCCAACUUGUCUCUGGUGUAAUUUGAAGAAAGUCUCCUGAUCUUGUGUUGAACGACAGCACCAAGCAGAAAACCAGAUAGGAGUUCUGACCAAAGUCCAGGCAUCAGGCCUGAAUAACAUAAUGCCUGUAGGAUCAGAAACAACAACAAAAAAAUGAACUUCAUCAAAAUUAAACUUUUGGCUUCAAAGAACACUAUCAAGAAAGCAAGAUUACAACCCAAGGAAUAUAAGACUAUAUUUACAAAUAAUAUAUCUGAUAAGAAACUUGUAUUCAGAGCAUACAAAGAACUCUUACAAUUAAAAAACAGCAACCCAAUUUAAAAAUGAACAAAGGAGUUGAAUAGACAUUUCUCCAAAGAAGAUAUACAAUUGCUUAAUAAGGAGGUGAAAAGAUGCUCAACAUCAUUAAUCAUUAGGGAAAUGCAAACCAAAAUCACAAUGAGAUACCACAAGGAUAGCUAAAGUUAAAAAGAAAGAAAAUAAAUAGCAUUAGCAAAGAAAUUAGAAUGCUUAAGCAUCGCUAAUGGGAAUGUUAAAUGGUGUAGGUGCUUUGGAAAACCGUAGAGAAGUUGUUUGUGUGUGUUUUUCUUUAAGAAAACAUUGAGUUACCCUAUGAUCCAACAAUUCCACUCAUAGGUAUAUAACCAAGAGAACUGAAAAUAUGUCCACACAAAAACUUCUACACAAAUAUUCAUAACAGCAUUAGUUGUAAUAGCCCCCAAAUGGGAAUAGCCCAAAUGUCCAUGAACUGAUGAAUGGAUGAACACAAUGUGGUAUAUCCAUAAAUGGAAUACUAUUCAACCAUGAUAAGGAAUGAAGUACUAAUAUCAGUUACAACAUGCAAGAACCUUUAAAACAUUAUGAAAGAAGCUAAAGCUAAAUGAAAGAAGCCAGUCACAAAAGGGCCACAUAUUGUAUGAAAUGUUCAGAAUAGGCAAAUCCAUAGAGGCAGAAUAUAGAUUAGUAACAGACAGUGAAUAGGGGGAGGAGAAAAUGAGCAGUAAUUACUAAUGAGUAUGGAGUUUCUUUUUGGGGUGACUAAAAUAUUCUGGAAUUAGUGGUGAUGGUUGAGCAGCUCUGUGAGUAUACUAAAAACCACUGACUUCUAUAAUUUAAGAGGGUGGCUUUUAUGGUAUGUAAACCAUAGCUCAAUAAAACUGUUAUAUUUUUAAAAAGUAACUCCCAUCACUUCUGUUUAGUUUCGUUAGUCAAAGAAAGCCACAAAUUACUCCAACAGGCCAAGGAAGUGCAAUCCUUCCUUACAUGUGCUUAAAAGGGAAAUGGAAACAUUUGUUGAACAGUACUAAUGACUACAACAAGGCCCCCAGCCUUCACGAGGGUAUGAGUCUCAGAGUAGGCCAGUCGUGAUCUUACACCCUCCUGCAUACAAUGAUUGGUCCACUAGUGGUCAUAUAACAUAGGCAGGCCAACCAGCCCUUUUAUGGAAUGAAUGUAUGUUACAGGCAGAAACAUCUUGUGAUUACUGAAUAGGAGGAUGGGAGACUGGGACUGUCAGAAGCCAUCCUAUCAGCUUUAUGGAGAGAGCCUGCAUCCAGUUGUGACUGUUCAACCUCGAGAUUUUCAAGAUGCAGAAGAACUUUGCUUAGUAAGUCAUUAGCAGCAAAAUGGAAUUCCAAUCUUAUAACUCUUUGCCCAGCAGAUGUCUCACAUUAUUUCCUAAGAAAUCCUGACAGUAUUUCAUCUUGCCACCUUCUAGACUCUCCUCUCUUCCCCAUACUCUUUCCAAUGCUUAAAAGGGAAGAUCCCCCUUCUCAGCCUCUCAUGUUCCCCUUAUUUACAACCUCAGGCUCCAUCUCCAAUGUUAUCUCUAGAUUGAGAGAUUUUCAAUGGGGCUUAUUCUUCCCAUGUUUUCCUACCUGUAUUAAACACCUCCUAAGAUGGCUUGUAAUCUCCUCCUCUUGCAAGUGGGCUGGACAUUAACUGCUAGCAAAUAGAGCAUAGGGCACUUCCAAGAUUAAGUUACAAAAAUGUUCUGAUUUCUGAUGUGCUUGCCCUCUGAUGGACACCAGAUGCCAUGUUGUUAGCUGCCCCGUGGAGAGGCUCACAUUGCAAGGAACUGCAGCUGGACUCUGGCCAACAAUCUACAAGAAAACUAAGCCCUGCCAAUAACCACAGGAAUGACCAUGGAAGUAGAUACUCCUCCAGAUGAGCCCUGAGAUUUCUGCAGCCCAGCUGACAUCUUGAUUGCAGUCUGUGAGAGACCUUAAAGCAGAGCAUCCAGCUAAGUCAUGGCCAGAUUCCUGACACGACACAAACUGUGAGAUAAUAAAUAUUGUUGUUUUAAG